GACGAACGCUGGCGGCGUGCUUAACACAUGCAAGUCGAACGGAAAGGCCCUGCUUUUGUGGGGUGCUCGAGUGGCGAACGGGUGUGUAACACGUGAGUAACCUGCCCUUGACUUUGGGAUAUCUUCAGACAACUGGGGCUACUACCUGCUAGGAGCUCCUGCUGCUUGGUGGUGGUUGGACCGUUUCGGCGGUUGUGGAUGGACGCGCGGCUUAUCAGUUUGUUGGUUGGGUAGUGGCUUACCAGGGGUUUGACGGAUAGCCUGCCUGAGAGGUGGACCGGGCACAAUGGGACUGAGAUACGGACCAGAGUCCUACGGGAGGCAGCAGUGGGGAAUAUGGCACAAUGGGGGGAAGCCUGAUGCAGCAACGCCGGGUGCGGGAUGACGGCCUUCGGGUUGUAAACCGCUGUCGCCUGUGACGAAGCGGGAGUGACGGUAAUGGGUAAAGAAGCACCGGCUAACUACGUG
rnacentral:rRNA from 1 species